rnacentral:rRNA from 1 species
CGCGGGUUAAUAGAAACAACAGUGCUAUUCGCCACAGUAACGGCGAGUGAAGCGGCAACAGCAUCAAAUUUGAAAUCUGGCCCUUUUGGGUCCGAGUUGUAAUUUGUAGAGGAUGCUUUUGGCAAGGUGCCGCCCGAGUUCCCUGGAACGGGACGCCACAGAGGGUGAGAGCCCCGUCUGGCUGGCCACCGAGCCUCUGUAAAGCUCCUUCGACGAGUCGAGUAGUUUGGGAAUGCUGCUCAAAAUGGGAGGUAUAUGUCUUCUAAAGCUAAAUAUUGGCCAGAGACCGAUAGCGCACAAGUAGAGUGAUCGAAAGAUGAAAAGCACCUUGAAAAGAGGGUUAAAUAGUACGUGAAAUUGUUGAAAGGGAAGCGCUUGUGACCAGACUUGGGCGCGGCGGAUCAUCCGGGGUUCUCCCCGGUGCACUUCGCCGUGUCCAGGCCAGCAUCAGUUCGUCGCGGGGGAAAAAGGCUUCGGGAACGUGGCUCCCCUGGGAGUGUUAUAGCCCGUUGCAUAAUACCCUGCGGUGGACUGAGGACCGCGCAUCUGCAAGGAUGCUGGCGUAAUGGUCACCAGCGACCCAUCUUGACCCCCCGAACACAACGG